GGCGAUGUGGUGGAAUUGGUAGACACGCUACUUUGAGGUGGUAGUGCCGCAAGGUAUGGGAGUUCGAAUCUCCCCAUCGUCA
rnacentral:tRNA from 1 species